rnacentral:misc_RNA from 1 species
UCUUUUCUUUUGAUAAGAGAGUUUUUAAAACCAGUGUUAUUUUUGUAAGUUUAAGAGAAGUUUGUGUAUUGAAUUUUUUAUUUUUAAUAUUAAAGAGCUUUGUUAAACUUAGACUUAAGUUUAGGUCAUUUUGGGGGUUUAGCUCAGUUGGCUAGAGCAUCGGCUUUGCAAGCCGAGGGUCAAGGGUUCGAGUCCCUUAACCUCCAUUGGGCUUAUGUCCUAAAUUGUAAUUAAGUAUGUUUUUAAGCAACUUUGUUAAAGUAAUUGUUAGAAUGUGAAACAGAGGAAGUUAAAAUUUCUGGGUUAAGUUGAGAUCUGUUGAUAUUAAGAAGAAUCUCUAGAAGCAAAAGCAAGCUUUCGAUAAAACCCGAAGUUGUUUCGCUAAAGUGCAAGGAUUAAACAGGAUUGUAUUUUCCAGCAGCCUAUUUUAUAAACGAUCUGCAUUUAGUAAAUAGUUUUUAGUUAAGAAAUAAUGUAGAUUGCUAAGUGUGAUGUCUGAAAGAAGGACAAGUAUUUUAGCGAGCCUAAAUCCUUGUUAUCGUUGCCAGUAUUUAGUGGUAGGGAUUCGGAUAAGACUGCCAUUUAUAAUUUGGAGGAAGGCAAAGAUUGCAUUAAAUCGUUAUCGUUCUUAUGUUUUAGGUUACAAGUUUGCCACAAUAACCCAAAAAAGCUAAGCAAAAUGCUAUAAAGCAGAUUUCAGUUUGGAUUUGCCCGACACUCAAUGGCAUGAAGUUGUAAUUGUUAG